CGCACCCACCCCCCAGCCUCAUUUUAAUUCCAACUCUCUUUUUAUUCCAAAUUUUGUUGUUCAUUAGACACACACUUUCAGCAUGCACACUCACUACUCUACAUACACCAAGCCUGAUGAUAGCAAGGAAGGGAGGGAGAGCCGAAGCGAGGGAGAGAAUGAGCGAGUGAGAGGACGCCAUUUAAGCAGUUUGUUACGAGCACUGCCAGUCCCCAAAAUGGCUGAAAACAAACAGGAGCCAUGCCAACAGAAAAAAAGCUUGGCCAUAGAGACAAGGAGGGAAAGAGAUAAAGAGUAGGAGUGGGGAGAAAGAGAGAGACGCCAGACAAUACUUGGGUAAAACUCUUUAGAUAAGUGAGGUAGCCAAAAGAGAGAUCAAAGAGAAGGGCAUGGACAUGAACUUUGGUUUCCAUUUUCUCCUCUCUCCACUUCCUUGACUAAAGAAGAGUACGUUUAUGGCAAGAAGCGUUGGAAUAGAGUGGUAAACAUUGAAGUUUUUGGCCGAGGCAGCCUUCUAUGACAGAUUUGGCCUUCUCGCAGAGCAGAGAAAUAGCACCUCUGUACUUUUUGUCCUGCCCUCGUUUGCUGAAUCACUCCAUCUGGCAUUUGCUGGAUAGAUUGAUCCUAAUUACUCUCAAUUUAUAGCUACUGACAAGUUCAGGAACCACUUGUUUUAAAAUGGCAUUGUGUGUGGAGAACUCUUUAAAACAGUCUGUCUUGACAUUCAGAAAAAAAUUUCAAGCCCAAACGACCUGCGGAGGGCAGGGCAACAGGAUAAGGAAAAUGAGAGUUCAUACUGAAAUUUUUUCUCGUUUCGCUCUUCCUCUUCUGUCUGCUUUUUUCAUGGCCAAAUUUCUGCCGAACAGCUCAUUAUAUACCCCCCAUCCUACGUUCCUUUCCCCUGUGCCCCUCGGUCCUUCUCUCUAUUUUUCCUUUCUCUUUCGCACUCCUUCUUUUUCUUUUCUAUUGUAUGCCAGCCCACUUGUCUCCAUGGGAACGCUGCUUGGAAGAGGUGUAGUUCUUAUGAUCUCUCCGACUUGUUGGAACUUUGUCACUUUUCUCACACUUCUAUGUGGUUCUUAUUGUGAGCUUGAUUACAGAACUUUCAGUUCACAUGCUUGUUUUAAAUAGUUUCUUUCUAUUUGGAGUUUAUCAAGUUCAGGUAACCAAGUAAAAGUGGAGUAAAACUGAUUCUACUUUUUCUUGAGCUGUUGGGUAAUUGAAACAAGGAUAUAAGAAACUCAAAAAUGCAAGACAUUUCCCCACAGUCAAUAUUAAAAGCAUGGUGCUUAUGUUAAGAUAUGUAGACAAUAGAUGUUUUAUCACUCAGUGUGGAUAAGGAAGUUUAGUUGUUGAUAAGGAAGUUCGUAUGAAGUAUUUGAUUUAAGGUACCUUUGGGAUAAGAUCUUGGUUCAGUUUGAUAGCAAAUGUUCAAGGAUCAUGCAUUAAGCAAAAGUACAUUGAUAUAUUUUAUAUUAUUUAAAUACUAUUUUAACUAAAAAACAACAACAAAUAGGCCAGACAGAGGUGGUCUUCACAAACCGUCCUCUUGUAUCACCCAUUAAACUCUGUAAACACGCUUUGUCAUAUUCUAAAUGGUGAUUAUAUUUGUUGUUUGAUUGCCUCUAAUCUUUGUCUGCUGUGAAUAUAGGUGGCUGAAAUGUUCCCUGCUCAGUGUUGAUCAAAGGCUGUCUUUAACAUGACAUAUGGAUCAGCAGACACUAAUGAGAGGGCAGUGGCCAGCUGAAUCUCCACAGUAACAAAAGAGGCUGGGACAUCUGGAGUCAGCCACACACAGACUCCUGGAACUCCCACAAACAGAGGAGCAGUCACGAUGUGGAGACCAGGAGAUUCGACUUGGGAAAAGGAGGCAGCAUCAGAGAUAAUCCAAGGAGUUAUGGACAGUUUCCCAAGCUUACUUAUGGAGCCUUGUGAUUACUAAACUGGAACAAAAGGCUUCCCUGAGAACUCAUGAUCAAAGCACAGCCCAUUUUCUGCUUGAUUGUGGCUUCUGCUUGGA